rnacentral:rRNA from 1 species
UACGGAGGGUGCGAGCGUUGUCCGGAAUCAUUGGGCGUAAAGGGUGCGUAGGUGGCGCGUUAAGUCCGUUGUGAAAUCCCUGGGCUCAACCCAGGAAUUGCUUCGGAUACUGGCGUGCUUGAGGCCGGUAGGGGUCACUGGAACUGACGGUGGAGCGGUGAAAUGCGUAGAUAUCGUCAGGAACGCCGAUGGUGAAGACAGGUGACUGGGCCGGAACUGACACUGAGGCACGAAAGCGUGGGGAGCGAACGGG